rnacentral:misc_RNA from 1 species
UUGGCGGGCCCAUGCUGUCAGCUCGAUCUCCUACCAACAGAUUGAAGUCCGUUGAACCAAGCGCGCGAAUCGAGCUCCGUUUUCUCCGCCAUGAUCGUCCCUGCUGGCCGCAACAGAUUUUUCCCAAUCCGCGCUCCCCUGGCUAUAAAGCAGUGCCCCGCGACCCCUUUCCUCCAUCAGGUUGACGCGCAAACCCAGACCUAACAUGCAUGGUCGUGGAUUCCGAUCUCCGGCGAUCGGUGCCCGGGCCCCUUUCCAUCGGUGCUCGCUCGCGCCGCUGCCACCGAGAUCCGGCCGCCAGAUUCCAAGGCGCCGCCGGGCUGUGCUGCUACCGUCUGUUGUUGAGGUUGGUGAUGAUCCGGUCACCGUUGAUUCCUCUGGACCGGCCGCCAGCAAGACUCCGUCGGUGCCGUUCCGACCCGCUGUGCGUGUCGUUGGUGCAGUAGUGAAGAAACGAAGAAAGCGUUGUAUACGUUGGGAAAAGAAGCAAGCCAUUGUUCGUUCCUGGAUGUCUCAUGGAUCUUCAUCGUUCAAACACCCCAUGUCCAUAUGUGUGGCUGGCUUCAAUAUAAUCGCGUCACGUCGUCCAAGCUGCGGUCGUGCCUAUAUUUUUGUAAGAG